rnacentral:tRNA from 1 species
GGCUCUUUGGUCUAGGGGUAUGAUUCUCGCUUUGGGUAGGAGAGGUCUCGGGUUCAAAUCCCAGAUGAACCC